GACGAACGCUGGCGGCGUGCUUAACACAUGCAAGUCGAACGGAAAGGCCCUGCUUUUGUGGGGUGCUCGAGUGGCGAACGGGUGAGUAACACGUGAGUAACCUGCCCUUGACUUUGGGAUAACUUCAGGAAACUGGGGCUAAUACCGGAUAGGAGUUCCUGCUGCAUGGUGGGGGUUGGAAAGUUUCGGCGGUUGGGGAUGGACUCGCGGCUUAUCAGCUUGUUGGUGGGGUAGUGUCUUACCAAGGCUUUGACGGGUAGCCGGGCUGAGAGGGUGACCGGCCAAAUUGGGACUGAGAUGCGACACAGACUCGUACGGUAGGCAGCAGUGGAGAAUAGUGCACAAUGGGCGGAAGCCUGAUGCAGCAACGCAGCGUGCGGGAUGACGGCAUUCGGGUUGUAAACCGCUUUCGCCUGUGACGAAGCGUGAGUGACGGUAAUGGGUAAAGAAGCACCGGCUAACUACGUG
rnacentral:rRNA from 1 species